UCAUUUAGAGGAAGGAGAAGUCGUAACAAGGUUUCCGUAGGUGAACCUACGGAAGGAUCAUUGUUGAACCUGCACGGCAGAACUACCCGAGAACCCCUUGCAACGUCGAGGGUCGGCUGGCUUCCAGCCCCGACGUCCCCUUUGUCCCGGGCACCCGCUCCCGGGCGUACAAACGAACACAGGCGCGUGUUGCACCAAGGAAUUUGAACGAAAGAGCCCGCUCCUGCCCCCCCAGAAACGGUGCGCGCGCGGGUGCGUCGUCGUUUUCGAUAAGUCAAAACAACUCUCGACAACGGAUAUCUCAGCUCUCGCAUCGAUGAAGAAAGUAACGAAAUGCGAUACUUGGUGUGAAUUGCAGAAUCCCGUGAACCAUCGAGUCUUUGAACGCAAGUUACGCCCGAAGCCAUCAGUCCGAGAGCACGCCUGCCUGGGCGUCACACGCCGUUGCCCCCCUGCACAUCCCUCGGGAGCGUCGGGGGACGGAUGAUGGCCUCCCGUGCGUCACCCUGCGUGGUUGGCAUAAAUGUCAAGUCCUCGACGACGAACGCCAUGACAAUCGGUGGUCGUCGAACCUCGGUUGCCAGUUGUGCUCUUUCGUCGCCCUUCGAGAGGCCCGCAACGCUCGUCGCUCCACUUCGACGGAGCUUUCAACGCGACACUAGGUCAGGCGGGGUUACCUGCUGAAUUUAAGCAUA
rnacentral:misc_RNA from 1 species